rfam:Felis catus isolate Cinnamon breed Abyssinian chromosome C1, whole genome shotgun sequence.
ACCUGGCUGGCUAAGUUGGUACAGUAUGUGAUUCUUGAUCUCAGGGUCAUGAGUUCAAGCCCCAUGAUGGGUG